rnacentral:lncRNA from 1 species
AAUCAAGUAAACAUAUAUGCUACUCAUGAAUAUGCUCAACAGAUCAUAAUGCUGGAACAUACAAAUCAGGUGUCAAUAUGCUGAAAUCAUCACUAGACAGCUGUCGGGACGUGGGUUUUACGCUCCAGGCGAACCAGCAACAACUCCCUACUGUCACAUGCAUAUGCAGGAUAAGACACCAUAUCGAUAAUGUAAAUGCUAGACAGCUGUCGGAAGGUGGGUUUUACGCCCCAGGCGAACCAGCAACAACUUCCUACUGUCACAUGCAUAUGCAGGAUAAGACACCACACUAAUCCCGGCCAGUAUCCAGAACAGAAAUCCAUCUCACAUCUACAUACUAAACGGCACCUCGCGGGAAUUCUACAUCCGCAGAAAGCCAUACUGCACCUCGCGGGGUCUUACUAUGCCCGGCGGCAAGCAGAAUAUAAGUCGUAGGACUGGCCGAUCCUACGCCUAGGGCCGUGUCCCCCCUAGGAAGGGACUGGGCUCCGCCCACCCAGAAGGCUACUAUGUGCACAAAGGCCGAUGUUCAACCCCAUCGACUAUAGGUGUCCUACAGAUACUGCCAAGCCAUGCAUAAAUGCCAUAAUGCACCCUCCCAAUACUCUACUAAAAAGGAGUAUAAUCAAGACUACCACUCACUCGAUCAUGACCCAAUCAUAAACUAACAUCAGGGUUAGGAGUGAGGGUCAAGGAAGUGCAAUACAACUCAAUAUACCACUAAAAAGGCUCUACAAAUUUUUGAAAUAGAGGAAAUGAAAUCAAUUUACAAAAGAAAUCAUUUCACAAUUCAGAAUCAAUUUGAUUACUCAUCAACCCCUCGUAAUUCCUCUCAAUAUUCCCUCAAAUGCAUGUACAAAAUAAUCAAGCAUAGAGAAUCAAGAUUGUAGAGAAAUCUACUACAACAAUUAAUCAAUAAGCUCAGGUGGAAUCAAGUCACACUUGGCAACAUUCAUGAAAAUGAAUAAAGAAUGUGCUCAUGGUGCAAAGUACGAGCUCCCAC